rnacentral:rRNA from 1 species
UACGUAGGGUGCAGGCGUUAAUUGGAAUUACUGGGCGUAAAGCGUGCGUAGGCGGUUUGUUAAGACAGAUGUGAAAUCCCCGGGCUCAACCUGGGAACUGCAUUUGUGACUGCAUGGCUGGAGUGCGGCAGAGGGGGAUGGAAUUCUGCGUGUAGCAGUGAAAUGCGUAGAUAUGCGGAGGAACACCGAUGGCGAAGGCAAUCCCCUGGGCCUGCACUGACGCUCAUGCACGAAAGCGUGGGGAGCAAACAGG